UACGAAGGGGGCUAGCGUUGCUCGGAAUGACUGGGCGUAAAGGGCGCGUAGGCGGCGCAUUUAGUCAGGCGUGAAAUUCCUGGGCUCAACCUGGGGACUGCGCUUGAUACGGGUGUGCUUGAGGAUGGAAGAGGCUCGCGGAAUUCCCAGUGUAGAGGUGAAAUUCGUAGAUAUUGGGAAGAACACCGGUGGCGAAGGCGGCGAGCUGGUCCAUUACUGACGCUGAGGCGCGGCAGCGUGGGGAGCAAACAGG
rnacentral:rRNA from 1 species